rnacentral:rRNA from 1 species
UACAGAGGGUGCAAACGUUGCUCGGAAUUACUGGGCGUAAAGCGCGUGUAGGCGGGCCGAUAAGUCGGAUGUGAAAUCCCUGAGCUCAACUCAGGAACUGCACUCGAAACUGUCGGUCUUGAGUAGUGGAGAGGAAAGCAGAAUUCCUGGUGUAGAGGUGAAAUUCGUAGAUAUCAGGAGGAACACCGGUGGCGAAGGCGGCUUUCUGGACACUUACUGACGCUGAGACGCGAAAGCGUGGGGAGCAAACAGG